AAGGAAGUGAAGAAAAGUUCUAAGUUACUCUGCUUAGUGCUUACAAACUAUUUGGUUUAAUUGGUCAAACGCCAAGUUGUUCGCGAGACAUAUAAAAGUACGCUAAAACAGAUGAAAAGCAUGUGUGAAAGACGCGUUUUAUUUAGAACUUGUGUCUCGCGGACUCACUCAUGCUUUCAUUGACAGUACUGAUGGACUGAUACACCUUCAUUUAAGCGACUUUUAAGCGGAAAAUUGCCACAGCUCUGACAGCAGACACGAUGAAGAUGAUUACAUUCUUCAUCGUGGGACUCAUUGUACAUGUAGUCUUCUUUCUCUCAAUAUUUGACAUCUAUUUCACAUCCCCUCUCGUCCAUGGAAUGACACCACAUAGUGUCCCUCUGGCCCCUCCGGCCUGAUGGUUUCCAUAAAAUGCAGUUUGAUUCUGUUUUUAAUGAGACCAGGUAUUCCUGGUGUUGGGGUAGCCCUGAUAUAUUACCGAUGUUUGCUAAAGGUAUAACCACACACCUGUGAAUAAACAGUAUAGUGACAUUAUUUGGUAGCUUUACCAGCAUGUGUGUUUUAUAGGAGCCACUGGAGAACAUGUGUACACUCACACUUACCCUCCAGAGCGGGAGGACUUUGCCUCCACUGAUGCUUCCAGACUUGAUACAUGGGUAUUUGAUGAAGUGAAGGGAAUAUCUAGAGAACACUGGCCUGGUUGAUGCUGGUGUUGCUGAAAUUGUCACUAUGAUGGACGACUUUUAUGGGCAUGAUAGAAAAACGGCUUAUGUUUUUACAUCCGACCAUGGAAUGACAAAUUGGGGAUCUCACGGUGCGGGACAUCCAUCAAACGCUGACCCACUGGUAUCUUGAGGCACUGGUGUCCAGACACGCAAUGGGAGAGCUCUCACAAAUAUGAUGAUAAUUAUUUAAAAGAAUGGGGGUUGGAUACUUCCAGGAGAGUGGAUGUCAAUCAGGUAACCGAAAGGAAACUGGGACAGAUGUUUCUGUGUACAGAUCUGCUUAUGGCUCUGUUCUUCUUGGUUCAGUCCAGUCCUUGGACCUACUACAUCUACUGCUUGCUCCCUCUGCCUGUGUGGUUCUCUGUCAUGAGGAAGUAAGUUACUCGUCCCAGUUUUUAUUAAAGUAUUAUUUUGACAUUUUCUAUAGAUUACAUUUAACAGUUUUAUUAAAUGAUUACUUAAAUGUAACAAUAUAUGAUUAUUGAGCAUGCACAAGUAAAGGAAUUGUUCACCCAAAAAUGCAAAUUCUGUCAUUAAUUACUCAUCCUCAUGUUGUUCCAAACCCGUAAGACACAGGCCCAACAAUGUGCAAAGGUAUUCACAUGACCAAGGACAAAUAGGAAAAUAAUUUCACAAAAAUGCUUAGAAAAUCUGUAUUUAUUAAUCAUAUUUUCAAAUGUAUUAAUACAUUUUAUACCAAGUCUGUUUUUUCCUCCUCAUUUGAUUUUUGGAGUUUUUGUGUGUUUUCUCUUUGUCACAGAUUUGAAACUCUUGCCGGACUUGUUUGAGCAAUCCCCUCAUUACCACUCAGCAAAUGCUUUGGAUAUUUUUUGCUAGUUACUUUUGGAAUUGAAUUACUUUUCAGUUCAUUGAGCUGGAUUUUGAGCUGUCUCUUUCUGGCUGUGUUUCCACUGUUGCCUGUGGUGGGACAGGAACCAGACAUUAACUGUGUCAGAAUGGCGUCAGGAAGGUUUAUCUUCUAAAUUGAAUGGAGACGCUCUCCUCUGUUCCGAAGGGAUCGUCAGCUGAUCAUCUGCCAGGUCAUUUUUGACUCUUUCUCUGUGUCCAUUUUCAUUUGCAUGUUCUGUGGUUUCGGUUAGUGGUCCCAUGGAAUGCAGCUGUAGUAAGGGUUUCAUUUUGAUUUUGUUUUUAAAUUAUUUACUUAUUUUUAUGAUUUAAUUUAUUAUUAGCCUGCAGUUUCCUCAUGAACCCCCAAAGAGAUCUGCAAAUUCCAGUUGAGAAGCCCUGUGUUUAAAAAUAGUGAUCCAGGGUACAGUUCUGUAAAGAGUAGGUUCAGGCGAGUUAGAGAAAUUCAGUAUAUGACAUGAAAACCAUUUAAAUAAGGCAAAAGUAAGGGAGAAUAGAAGGGGCUAUAAAGUAAAUACACUAGGAAGUAAUGACCAAAAUGCAAAUGGAAAAUACACAUAGUAAUAGGGUAUCCGCUAUUGACUGAGUAUAAUUUGCCUUUUAUAGUAUAUACUGCAUUUCCUGUUGCUGAUUAUCUCUGAAAUUUUAUGAUAUCUCUUGCAACAGCAGCAGACAGAAACAAGCAACAUUUUGUAUGUGUUUAGCUAGUAAAACCAAAUAGUAAAAAUCAAAACAGAACUUUUUUUUGUACACAAGACACAUUACUGUUACUCUACUGCAAACUAUUUCAGAAUCAAAUUAUUUUAACCUAUUUUAAAUAGUAGAUACAAAAUCAAAAAAGAUUUGAUCUCUAGUAGGCUAUUCCUUUCACACUUGCAUUUAGCCUAAAUGUAGCCUACUGUGAGAUUGGAAAUGUAUUGUCUUGCCCCAAAAUACAUUUUGGUUUAUAUUUUGGUUUAUAUUUUAUUUAUAUAUUUUUUAAAAAUAUAUUUUGGACAACUUUUUAUUUAUUUAUUUCCAUAUGGGCUAAAUGGGCAUUACAUCUAAAUUUAACCUACUUUAAACUCCUCCGGGAAUCUUAUUUGUGUACAUUUGUUUGCAGAUGAUGCAGGUGAUGCUGUGUGCUUACACCCUGACCAGCACACACCCAAGUCUGCAGCUGAAGCAAGGCUUGCCUCUCUUUAACUAGCUUGUUAGCUUGCUCACACUAGGUUUGCCAUCUCCAUUCCCAUGAUGCUUUAUUACCAAUUUUAGACUGUAAAGGGAUAGUUUGCCCAAAAAUUACACUUCUGUCAUUGUUUACUCAUCCUCAUGUCAUUUCAAAUCUGUAUGGUUUUCUGUCUUCUGUGGAACACUCAUAAAGUCAUAAAGAUUUAAAAUGACAUGAGGGUGACAAAAUGGUGAGAUGAACCCUUGAUGCAUGACUGCUAACCAGUGAAUUGCACUUCUUCUUUUCAUCCGUCCUGUUCAUACUUUAACCCUUGCUCUCUAACACUUUGUUUUUUAGUUUCCUCAUUUUUGAUAACGUUGUUAAGUUCCACCAGGCUCUUCUCACACACUUCUGAGUAUCCUGAUGUCCUUAGUUUGUGUCUACCUCCUCCUGAGCACAGGGUAAAAGCCACUAACCAUUAAUCUAACGCCAUCUAAUCAUUCAUUUUUAUGUGUCUGUGCUAGGUUUAACAGUACUUCAGCACAUGUUAGAUUUAGUCAAAUUCUCCUCUUGAGGUUGCCUGUCUAAGGAAAUGGAAUUAAAAAAAAAACCACAUAGUGCUUACAGCAAGCUGUUAAGUUGCAGAAGUUUUUAGUUUAGCCACUGACUGGUUUGAGACCGUUUCAGUUAUACAGAGAAUAUUAUAACGAAUAAUUAAUAAUCUAAUUAAAUAAUAACACUACCAUUCAAAAGUUUGGGGUUGGUUAUUUUUUAAGGAGGUCUUACAUGCCCACCAAUGGCUGUUUUUAUUUUUAAUGCAGUAAAUAGUUCAUAAUAUGAAAUAUUACAAACCUGAUUCCAAAAAAGUUGGGACACUGUACAAAUUGUUAGUAAAAAAGGAAUGGAAUAAUUUACAAAUCUCAUAAACUUAUAUUUUAUUCACAAUAGAAUAUAGAUAACAUAUCAAAUGUUGAAAGUGAGACAUUUUAAAAUGUCAUGCCAAAUAAUGGCUCAUUUUGGAUUUCAUGAGAGCUACACAUUCCAAAAAAGUUGGGACAGGUGGCAAUAAGAGGCCGGAAAAGUUAAAUGUACAUAUAAGGAACAGCUGGAGGACCAAUUUGCAACUUCUUAGGUCAAUUGACAACAUGAUUGGGUAUAAAAGAGCCUCUCAGAGUGGCAGUGUCUCUCAGAAGUCAAGAUGGGCAGAGGAUCACCAAUUCCCCCAAUGCUGCGGCGAAAAAUAGUGGAGCAAUAUCAGAAAGGAGUUUCUCAGAGAAAAAUAGCAAAGAGUUUGAAGUUAUCAUCAUCUACAGUGCAUAAUAUCAUCCAAAGAUUCAGAGAAUCUGGAAUAAUCUCUGUGCGUAAGGGUCAAGGCCGGAAAACCAUACUGGAUGCCCGUGAUCUUCGGGCCCUUAGACAGCACUGCAUCACAUACAGGAAUGCUACAGUAAUGGAAAUCACAACAUGGGCUCAGGAAUACUUCCAGAAAGCAUUAUCGGUGAACACAAUACACCGUGCCAUUCACCGUUGCCAGCUAAAACUCUAUAGGUCAAAAAAGAAGCCAUAUCUAAACAUGAUCCAGAAGCGCAGGCGUUUUCUCUGGGCCAAGGCUCAUUUAAAAUGGACUGUGGCAAAGUGAAAAACUGUUCUGUGGUCAGACGAAUCAAACUUUGAAGUUCUUUUUGGAAAACUGGGAUGCCAUGUCAUCUGGACUAAAGAGGACAAGGACAACCCAAGUUGUUCUCAGCGCUCAGUUCAGAAGCCUGCAUCUCUGAUGGUAUGGGGUUACAUGAGUGCGUGUGGCAUGGGCAGCUUACACAUCUGGAAAGGCACCAUCAAUGCUGAAAGGUAUAUCCAAGUUCUAGAACAACAUAUGCUCCCAUUCAGACGUCAUCUCUUUCAGGGAAGACCUUGCAUUUUCCAACAUGACAAUGCCAGACCACAUACUGCAUCUAUUACAACAUCAUGGCUGCGUAGAAGAAGGAUCCGGGUACUGAAAUGGCCAGCCUGCAGUCCAGAUCUUUCACCCAAACAUUUGGUGCAUCAUAAAGAGGAAGAUGCGACAAAGAAGACCUAAGACAGUUGAGCAACUAGAAGCCUGUAUUAGACAAGAAUGGGACAACAUUCCUAUUCCUAAACUU
ensembl:lncRNA